rnacentral:lncRNA from 1 species
CUUUCACAGCCAGAGUCCUGGUGGAGGAUGACGAGAUCAUGCAGGGAUUCAUCAGGGCUUUCAGGCCCCUGCCCAGGCACCUAUGGUACUUGCUGGACUUGAAACAGAUGGAAGGUGAGCUCUGCCUAGGACACGCCCAGCCUCAGCUGGAGGAGAAGCUGCCUCUUUCUCAGCCUGAGCCCCCUGCUGGCUCUGUAGGACUCAGGUCACUCCUUUUUGGCCCCUCCCCUGUUCUCCCCCGGCCUCCUGGGGUGCAGAGCCACCCUGAGAUGGGGUCCUGCCCUCUCCCGCCAUCUUUUCACCCCCUCUCUAGCCCUGGGGCUGCUGUGUCCCCAGCUGUCUCUUCUCUCGCUGACACCUCCACUGUCCCAUCUCCUCCCACAGAGCUGUGCCGUUUCUAGGUGAGCUCCUGCCUGGUCCUGCCUCCUGGGUAAUGUAUCAGCCUCGCCCACUGUCUGCGGCUGCCUCUCUGGGCCCCUGGGACAGACCCCACUGUGUCCAGUUCAUAAGAUGGAGUCUCGCUCUGUCACCAGGCUGGAGUGCAGUGGCACAAUCUCAGCUCACUGCAACCUCGACCUCCUGGGUUCAAGCGAUUCUCCUGGCUCAGCCCCCCGACAUUUUUUAAAAUUUAUUUAUUUUCUUAGAGAUGGGGUCUUGCCAUGUUGCCCAGUUGGUCUCAAACCCCUGGGCUAAGAUAAUCCUCCCACCUCAGCCUCCCAA